GUGCCAGCCGCCGCGGUAACACGUAGGGGGCAAGCGUUGUCCGGAUUUAUUGGGCGUAAAGAGCUCGUAGGCAGAUGCGUAAGUCGGAUGUGAAAACUCAGGGCUCAACCCGGAGACUGCAUUCGAUACUGCGCUGACCAGAGUCCGGUAGGGGAGCAUGGAAUUCCUGGUGUAGCGGUGAAAUGCGCAGAUAUCAGGAGGAACACCAGUGGCGAAGGCGGUGCCCUGGGCCGGUACUGACGCUGAGGAGCGAAAGCGUGGGUAGCGUACAGGAUUAGAUACCCUGGUAGUCCACGCCGUAAACGUUGGGCACUAGGUGUGGGGCCUACUUAACGGGUUCCGUGCCGUAGCUAACGCAUUAAGUGCCCCGCUUGGGGAGUACGGCCGCAAGGCUAAAACUCAAAGAAAUUGACGG
rnacentral:rRNA from 1 species